CAACAAAGGGGCGUACCAGAAUCCGGUUUUGCACUUGUUGGCAGUAAGCCUWCUUCWCAUCUUGCGAGUAAUCCCCGUUUAUCUCCGGUUCCCGGAGCAUGGUUAUUCCAUAAGGCGUAGGCUCUCUAGUUCGUGGUGCGGUACCGGGUUCAUGUGUACCUGUACGUGUCCUAUACCCUGUGUUGCCCACGAAGUUCCAGGUUGGGUGUGGUGUGGGUAUUUUCCGUAUMGCGUCCCGUYUUUUCCCUGUAAGCCCCGUUAGCUGACGGAAGCGUUCUCCAUACGUCGUGUCCCUUGGUCGUGUUCAGUUCCGUUUAUCCGUGAACUCGGGUGGUGACUUUUCCGCGUUUCCGCUACAACAGCGACGGGUUCGUCCCUAGGUUGUACGGGAAU
rnacentral:misc_RNA from 1 species